AACCAUAGAAACCUGCGGAGUACCUGCGGAAGGAUCAUUACAGAGUUGCAAAACUCCCACAAACCAUCGCGAAUCUUACCCGUACGGUUGCCUCGGCGCUGGCGGUCCGGAAGGCCCUCGGGCCCCCGGACCCUCGGGUCCCCCGCUCGCGGGGGGCUGCCCGCCGGAGUGCCGAAACCAAACUCUUGAUAUUUUGUGUCUCUCUGAGUAAACUUUUAAAUAAGUCAAAACUUUUAACAA
rnacentral:misc_RNA from 1 species